CUAAAAAUAGUUUAAGUAAAAUAUAGGCUUUGGGGGCUUAAGAUUAAUUUUAUUAUUUUUUGA
rnacentral:tRNA from 1 species